CCGAUGCCCCCUGCAGUGAGAACAUGGGUAAACCGGCUAGAGAAAGAGGUGACCUCGGCUGCAAUGGUGGCUACUUCAUCAGGCACAACAGAGACUCGGCACACCUGGACCCCCAGGGAGCGCAGUGUCCGGCACAGAAAUCACCAAACAGGUCCUUGGCACCUUUCACCUGGUCAAUGGCAACAGCCUCCUGGCCGAGCUCCCAGCCUCCAGCCACGGUGCUUUGCUCUGUGUCUUCUGAGUAACCUUCCUAAUGCGUCACUGUGAUUGCAUCACUUUUGGGCUCAAGAGCCAUUUGUUGUUUCCAACUGUAUGCAGAAUAAAGUUCAAAUUCUUUUGCAAGUA